rnacentral:rRNA from 1 species
AUUGAACGCUGGCGGCAGGCCUAACACAUGCAAGUCGAGCGGAGCGGCGGACGGGUGAGUAAUGCCUAGGAAUCUGCCUGGUAGUGGGGGAUAACGUACGGAAACGGGCGCUAAUACCGCAUACUCUAAGAAGAACGUGGGUCGGAUUAGCUAGUUGGUGGGGGAAAGGCCUACCAAGGCGACGACCAGUAACUGGUCUGAGAGGAUGAUCAGUCACACUGGAACUGAGACACGGUCCAGACUCCUACGGGAGGCAGCAGUGGGGAAUAUUGGACAAUGGGCGAAAGCCUGAUCCAGCCAUGCCGCGUGUGUGAAGAAGGUCUUCGGAUUGUAAAGCACUUUAAGUUGGGAGGCGUUACCAACAGAAUAAGCACCGGCUAACUUCGUGCCAGCAGCCGCGGUAAUUC